UAAACUGCUGCUCUCUGACAGAUGUGCGAUUCGAGGUGCACCAACGUGCCGCAUCCUGGGCCGGCUGUGCACAGGGACCAGGCUGGGGACUCCGCUCACUCCAGGCCGGUGAUGCUCUGCAGGCACGCGGCAGGCAAAGGCCUUGUCUCCAUCUCUGAGCUGGGGACGUAGGGUCUGCACAGAGAUUUGCCUUCUCACAAAGCCGGUGUCAGCAAAGAAACAAAAUCCCAGUGUUUUAACGACACAAGCCUCGGUUUUGCAAAGCAGCAGAGCAGCUGUUUCGAAUUUUUCCACAGCGAGCCUCUUCACUGGGUAUGUGCUGCAGGAGGGCAAGGCUCAAGAGUUCCUUAGGGACACUUUCAUGAACAUACUGAUGGGCUCUGUUUAAAGGAAAAAGUUGUUCUUGGAAGUUCUUCAAUUAAUCCAAGUAGCCAGACCUCUACGGACAUUGGUGGACAUGGACAAGUCGCCACAUCUGAAGAUAAAAUACUAGAGGCUCCAUCCUGCUGACACAGAAGACAAUGAUAUACUUUGCAUUCCUCUGAUAUGUGGAAAUGUGUCUGAAUGUCCUCACUAUUGGGGCAUUUUGGGGCAGCUACCAGGUUUCACAGAACUGUCAGCACUAGGGAAUCUCAGAUUGGACAUUCAUUGAAAACAGG